rnacentral:rRNA from 1 species
UACAGAGGGUGCGAGCGUUGUCCGGAAUCACUGGGCGUAAAGGGCGCGUAGGCGGCCUGGUAAGUAGGGGGUGAAAUCCCGCGGCUCAACCGCGGGGCUGCCUCCUAGACUGCCGGGCUCGAGCACAGUAGAGGCAGGUGGAAUUCCCGGUGUAGCGGUGGAAUGCGUAGAGAUCGGGAAGAACAUCGGUGGCGAAGGCGGCCUGCUGGGCUGUUGCUGACGCUGAGGCGCGACAGCGUGGGGAGCAAACAGG